CUAGCGCACCACUAAGCAGCUGUAAGAUUAAACAUCUGAUAAAAUUAUUGACAUUUGUAACCACAAAAUCAAGCGAGCUACUUCAGAAUUAAAAAAUGAGAAUUAAAGAUCAGAAACAAUUGAUAGUUGAAACCUACUCAUAAGUUAUGUUUUACAAGCCAUUUACCAUGGUCAGUUAAACAAAAAAGAAUAUAAUGAAAUUUAAGUUGAGUAUAAUUUUUUGUAUCGAAGUACCUUGACAUGGGGGGGGGUUCAAUCACCAAAUAUAUCAUCGUAGUCAUCAUCAAUUUCCUCUAAAUCCUCAAAGCCUUCAUGUUCUUGACUUCUCUUCAUUAAAUUCCUCAUUAAAUCAUUUAUCCGAUCAUCUGUUGCUGAAGUAUUCAAACCUCUAACAGUAUCAUUUAAAUCUGUAUUAUCCUGUUCAUCAAAAUUCGAAUAUCUGUCAGAUUCCUCUACCUCUUCGGCGUUUAAAAUCAUAUUCACCGCGACUUCAGAAGGCAUUUCUCCUUCGAUCAGCGCAAAGAGUUUUUCACGCAUAAGAUCUCUAACCUUAUAGUAACGACCGCUUCUAUACCAUCCUGUGUCCCGAUGACAUUCAGAACGUAACUGAGUAUCUUUCAGUAGUGGUGCAAUUGUGGGAUCUACGAUAU